rnacentral:rRNA from 1 species
GAUGAACGCUGGCGGCGUGCCUAAUACAUGCAAGUCGAGCGAACGGACGAGAAGCUUGCUUCUCUGAUGUUAGCGGCGGACGGGUGAGUAACACGUGGAUAACCUACCUAUAAGACUGGGAUAACUUCGGGAAACCGGAGCUAAUACCGGAUAAUAUUUUGAACCGCAUGGUUCAAAAGUGAAAGACGGUCUUGCUGUCACUUAUAGAUGGAUCCGCGCUGCAUUAGCUAGUUGGUAAGGUAACGGCUUACCAAGGCAACGAUGCAUAGCCGACCUGAGAGGGUGAUCGGCCACACUGGAACUGAGACACGGUCCAGACUCCUACGGGAGGCAGCAGUAGGGAAUCUUCCGCAAUGGGCGAAAGCCUGACGGAGCAACGCCGCGUGAGUGAUGAAGGUCUUCGGAUCGUAAAACUCUGUUAUUAGGGAAGAACAUAUGUGUAAGUAACUGUGCACAUCUUGACGGUACCUAAUCAGAAAGCCACGGCUAACUACGUGCCAGCAGCCGCGGUAAUACGUAGGUGGCAAGCGUUAUCCGGAAUUAUUGGGCGUAAAGCGCGCGUAGGCGGUUUUUUAAGUCUGAUGUGAAAGCCCACGGCUCAACCGUGGAGGGUCAUUGGAAACUGGAAAACUUGAGUGCAGAAGAGGAAAGUGGAAUUCCAUGUGUAGCGGUGAAAUGCGCAGAGAUAUGGAGGAACACCAGUGGCGAAGGCGACUUUCUGGUCUGUAACUGAUGCUGAUGUGCGAAAGCGUGGGGAUCAAACAGGAUUAGAUACCCUGGUAGUCCACGCCGUAAACGAUGAGUGCUAAGUGUUAGGGGGUUUCCGCCCCUUAGUGCUGCAGCUAACGCAUUAAGCACUCCGCCUGGGGAGUACGACCGCAAGGUUGAAACUCAAAGGAAUUGACGGGGACCCGCACAAGCGGUGGAGCAUGUGGUUUAAUUCGAAGCAACGCGAAGAACCUUACCAAAUCUUGACAUCCUUUGACAACUCUAGAGAUAGAGCCUUCCCCUUCGGGGGACAAAGUGACAGGUGGUGCAUGGUUGUCGUCAGCUCGUGUCGUGAGAUGUUGGGUUAAGUCCCGCAACGAGCGCAACCCUUAAGCUUAGUUGCCAUCAUUAAGUUGGGCACUCUAAGUUGACUGCCGGUGACAAACCGGAGGAAGGUGGGGAUGACGUCAAAUCAUCAUGCCCCUUAUGAUUUGGGCUACACACGUGCUACAAUGGACAAUACAAAGGGCAGCGAAACCGCGAGGUCAAGCAAAUCCCAUAAAGUUGUUCUCAGUUCGGAUUGUAGUCUGCAACUCGACUACAUGAAGCUGGAAUCGCUAGUAAUCGUAGAUCAGCAUGCUACGGUGAAUACGAUCCCGGGUC